rnacentral:rRNA from 1 species
GACGAACGCUGGCGGCGUGCUUAACACAUGCAAGUCGAACGGUAAGGCCCUUCGGGGUACACGAGUGGCGAACGGGUGAGUAACACGUGGGUGAUCUGCCCUGCACUUCGGGAUAAGCCUGGGAAACUGGGUCUAAUACCGGAUAGGACCCUGGGAUGCAUGUCCUGGGGUGGAAAGCUUUUGCGGUGUGGGAUGGGCCCGCGGCCUAUCAGCUUGUUGGUGGGGUGAUGGCCUACCAAGGCGACGACGGGUAGCCGGCCUGAGAGGGUGACCGGCCACACUGGGACUGAGAUACGGCCCAGACUCCUACGGGAGGCAGCAGUGGGGAAUAUUGCACAAUGGGCGCAAGCCUGAUGCAGCGACGCCGCGUGAGGGAUGACGGCCUUCGGGUUGUAAACCUCUUUCAGCACAGACGAAGCGCAAGUGACGGUACGUGCAGAAGAAGGACCGGCCAACUACGUGCCAGCCGCCGCAGUAA